GAACGCUGGCGGCGUGCCUAAUACAUGCAAGUCGAGCGAACCAAUUGAAAGCCUAGCUUUCAUGAGGUUAGCGGCGGACGGGUGAGUAACACGUGGGUAACCUGCCCUAUAGACUGGGAUAACUCGCGGAAACGCGUGCUAAUACCGGAUAAYACAUCARAGUGCAUGCUUUGRUGUUGAAAGAUGGUUCUGCUAUCACUAUAGGAUGGGCCCGCGGCGCAUUAGCUUGUUGGUGGGGUAACGGCCUACCAAGGCGACGAUGCGUAGCCGACCUGAGAGGGUGAUCGGCCACACUGGGACUGAGACACGGCCCAGACUCCUACGGGAGGCAGCAGUAGGGAAUCUUCCACAAUGGGCGAAAGCCUGAUGGAGCAACGCCGCGUGAGCGAAGAAGGUCUUCGGAUCGUAAAGCUCUGUUGUAAGGGAAGA
rnacentral:rRNA from 1 species